GCAAUCCACUGUGCCACACGAAACAGCUGAGCUUGAAAAGCAGAAAAUAAAGGUAUGGCAAUAGGCAAAGGACUUACCUACUCAAACCACCAAAACAUAUUAAGAGAUAUUAAUAUUGACCACAGGCAGUCUGAACAUAAACAACAUCAAUGACUUACUACAUAUCGUCAUACCCUUUAGGAUGGUGGAGGAAUGGAUGUCAUCGAGUGGGGGAAAAGCUACUAUAGAUAUCAGCAUUCUGCUUAGUAAACUGCAAGUGCAGAAAACAUGAGUGCCUCAGGAAGGACCAUUGCUACUGUCUCUGACUACAGGUCAACAAUCAGAAGCACCUGAAGAUAACUGCUCUUAAAACCAACCUACUUUCUCCUUUAAUCCAAGAUUCAAGAUCAAAUGUGAAUCAAUUUUCAGGCACAUAGUUGGAACAGAAAAAUGAUUAUCCCUAAUAUAAUUUGCUU